AUGUACUGCGAUGAAUCCGAGUGGUUCAGCUGGCCCUGGAUGCGGCCCUCCUCCCUCUGCCGGGAGGGCCGGGGUACUGUCGGUCAGAGCAUGGCCAGCCCCGGGGUUCACCCUCCUCCCAGUUCCUGGGGCUCACCUGGAUCUCCAGCUCUGCGAUGCGCUGCCUCAUCUCCGCCACUGCAGCCAUGCUGUCUGCCUCCCGAAGGCGCACAGCCAUCACCUCCUCCUUACUCUGAAGGGAAGCGGGUACAGAAGGGACGGAUCAAGGAGGUGGCAAGGUCUCAGUGGUUAGCCAAGGUUGCCAGCUGGCCCUUAGCAGCUCCAUCAUUCCCCAGCUCCUUCACAAGAUUUGAUGACCUCUCACUUUAAGGCAGGAGUCACUCUUGAUCUUUCUGGUAUCAUCACCAUGUUCAAUUUUGUAUGGUACUGA
ensembl:processed_transcript